rnacentral:lncRNA from 1 species
GGAGAUAAGAUAUGAGAGCAGAUGGGUAAUAUAAGUAGAGAGAUGAAAUCUCUGAAAAAAGAAUCAAAAGGAAAUGUUAGAAAUCAAAAACUGCAACAGAAGUGAAGAAUGCCUUGCAAAAAAUAUUAACAGAAGUUCUUCAGGGAAAAGGAAAUGAUAUAGGUCAGAAACUCAGAUCUACAUAAAGGAAGGAAGAGUAUUGGAAGGAAUAAAUGAAGAUUCUGAAGAGUUAAGAGUCAUGGUUCCUAAAAGGGAAUACUUCUACCAUGGCUGUCAACUGGGUUCUUUAAGUUCCUUAUGCCAAGGGACCAGAAGGCAAGAAGAGGAAUCACCAUCCUGGCAGAAGUAAUUGGCCUUUGUCACCAGGAGGAGAUCAUUAAUGAAGAUGUUAAAUGAGACCAGAAUGAAGCCGCGUCCCCGUGGCAUCCCGCUAGACACCUUCCAACAACUUGACACUCUGCCAUUUGCUGUUUCAUUACCCUUUGUUUACCUCGUGAGCGCAGGCCCUUGCUUUAGAAAGAGGCAGAAAGCUUGAUAUUUCUGCUGCUGCCGGGAUGCCACUUUAGGGUGGGGAUAUUAAAACCUGGCAGAUUGUAAAUACAUCCUUUUGAGUUUGAAUUAAAUGUGGAUUAUGAAUAGA